AUGUGCUGGUUGAAAUUAUCAUGUUGGAUAAUAUUUGCUUUUACUAGCAGUUGCAGUGCUCUUGUUAUUUUAUUUCCACAAAUAUCAUCAUGUUUUGCUAUUGACGUCAUGCUAUAUUCCUUGACUGAAAGCAAACCCUUUAAUUGCAGCUGUACUAAGGAUUCUUUCCGUCUAUAUCAUGUCAUGAUUUUCUUACUAGCUGUAGUGGUGCUCUUAUUAUUUUAUUUUCCAGAAUUACUGUCAUUUCACAGAUGGUGUAAACCUUGUUCAUGGCUAACUUAUAGAAUAGCAAACCUGGUUCAUGGCUAA
rnacentral:rRNA from 1 species